rnacentral:rRNA from 1 species
GACGAACGCUGGCGGCGUGCUUAACACAUGCAAGUCGAGCGGAGCGGCGGACGGGUGAGUAAUGCCUAGGAAUCUGCCUGGUAGUGGGGGAUAACGUCCGGAAACGGGCGCUAAUACCGCAUACUAUCAGAUGAGCCUCGGUCGGAUUAGAUAGUGGGGGGGGUAAAGGCCUACCAAGGCGACGAUCCGUAACUGGUCUGAGAGGAUGAUCAGUCACACUGGAACUGAGACACGGUCCAGACUCCUACGGGAGGCAGCAGGGGGGAAUAUUGGACAAGGGGGGAAACCCUGAUGCAGCAACGCCGCGUGCGGGAUGACGGCCGUCGGGUUGUAAACCGCUUUCAGCCAGGACGCGGUAGUGGCAGAAGAAGCACCGGCUAACUACGUGCCAGCAGCCGCGGUAAUAC